rnacentral:sRNA from 1 species
AUGGCUGAGAUAGCAUCUCAACUGGAUGAGAAUAAAGAAAAGUUCUUGAAGCUCAAUUCAGUUAUUAUUGAGGCUGAAGCAGAGAUACAACACAUGCAUGACAUGCAAACAACAGUUGGAAAGAGUAUCUCUGGAGACGAAGGACUAAUAAAUGAGCUAAAACAAAAAAUAGAUUCUUUGAUAAAACAAAAGGGAAAGGCAAAGCAAGAGAAGAAAACAAUCUACACUGAUGGAAAGAAGCUGAAGGAAAAGUACGAUGUGGCAGCUAAUGCAGAGGAGGAGAAGAAGACAACUGAGAAGAUCAAGAGGAAGACUGAAGAAAAGUGGUCACACUACAAUAAUCGGUUCAAGAGCUUUACAUGCAGUGGAGGUUAGUAAUUUCUGUUUAACUAAUUACUACUAUAUAUUACAUCAACUUGCACAAAUUCUUGUAUGUGAACUAUAACUCUUCUGAAUAUUUAUAGAAACUUUUAUUAGUUUCUCUGCAGUUAAUUAAAAUAAAUUUAACAAGAAACAAGAAUUGAGAAUGUCUGAGGACUACAUGAAGAAUGCUCCAGUAAUUUAAUAGUGACAACUUUGAUUUGUGCAGGAAUCAGCAUGGAUGAUAUAGGCCAGGCUGAAGAAACAACCAAAUUAAUUCAUUUUUGCAUAAUGCAAUGGUAAAAGGGUAAAUGCACAUUAUCUUCUGUUGUAUAUAUUUUUGUGCUUGUGUGUGUGUGUGUGUGUGUGAGAGAGAGAGAGAGAGAGAGAGAGAGAUUAUGUUGAAAGGGGGCCUGCUUCAAAAAUGUAUGGAGGACUAAAUUCAAAAGUGAGGAUGCUGGUGCCAACAUAACCAUCUUCUACGAGCAUAAGAUGGUGCAGGCUCAUCAUUGCAUAUAACACUGAAAGAAGUGCACAUCCAACAUUACACCAUUCAUGAUGCAAUAUUAAGCAGCUGCAGCUUAGAAGAGCAGAUAUUGUUCAAGUUGUUAGUUUGGUCGUGUUUUGUGAUUGUAUUGUUUGCAGCUUGUUUUUAUUUGAAUAAAAUAAAAAUCAAAAUAAAAACAUUGCAAGUUAGCUUGAAAUUAUCUGCCCUACCUUCAUUUUAAAAUAAUUUCCACUGGACUUAACCCAACGAAAAACAUUAACUAACUAUGAAUCUAGCACUACCUCUCCUUCAUGAUUAACAUUGGGUAACUCUAUUGGCACACGCUACAUGGUGUCCUUGCCCAAAAUAUUUCUUCAGUUGGGAAAUGUGGAACAAGGGCUGUAAGUGGGUACCAUCUGUUAAUAAUACCCCCUCUCAGUUUGACUCGAUGGCAAGACGUUUUUACCAUAUCUGGUGAUGUGUAAUGGAUUCGUAGGGUCCCCAACAAACAAAUAUAAGGUUCAUAGGUAUGAAUGGCCAACUAUAUUUUAAUUACCAAACCAAGGCAGGGAGGGUGUCAAAUCUCCUAAUCUAAGGUGAGAAAUAUGCCUGCAAACCAUAGAUAUAGAUUUGGGUCCAUGGAAGGUGUUUGGAACCCCAUGACAUACGGUUUGUAACAUUAACCCUAUUGAUUUCACUUCUACUUCAUUAUACUACAUUAGGUAUUUAAGGUAUGAUGGGAUCAACAGCCUGAUAGCAUCAUUCUCCUGUCAUGUUUCCUUUUUUUGGAUAUUUGGGGACCUUGGCAGAACCGAGGCACAAGGCCUUUGUAGAUCUGAUGGGGAAUCUAUUAAUUCAUUUGCUGCUGCGUUGUCCUCUUGUCUAUGA